AUACGGAGGAUGCAAGCGUUAUCCGGAUUUAUUGGGUUUAAAGGGUGCGUAGGCGGUUUGCUAAGCGGGAGGUGAAAUGCCGGCGCUCAGCGUCGGAAGUGCCUCCCGAACUGGUGGACUGGAAUGACUCUGCCGUGGGAGGAAUGUGUAGUGUAGCGGUGAAAUGCUUAGAGAUUACACAGAACACCGAUUGCGAAGGCAUCUCACGAAGGGUUGAUUGACGCUGAGGCACGAAAGCGUGGGGAUCAAACAGGAUUAGAUACCCUGGUAGUCCACGCAGUAAACGAUGAUGGCUAACCGCUGGUUUAUUCGGAUCAGUGGCCAAGCGAAAGCGAUAAGCCAUCCACCUGGGGAGUACGACCGCAAGGUUGAAACUCAAAUGAAUUGACGGGG
rnacentral:rRNA from 1 species